GCCGGCAGCCAUAUCACCCUGCAGCCCAAGCCUGGUUGCCCACUGAAGCUAAGCAGGGCUGAGCCUGGUCAGUACCUGGAUGGGAGACCUCCUGGGAAAACUAGGUUGCUGCUGGAA
rnacentral:rRNA from 1 species